GGCUCUGUAGCUCAGUGGUAGAGCAGGGGAUUCAUAAGCCCUUUGUCACAGGUUCAAAUCCCGUCAGAGCCA
rnacentral:tRNA from 1 species